GAGCCUCGGACCCCGCCCUCCACCUUCCCCGGGCUUCCGUGCUGUGCUGGCCAGGUGCUGGCGUUGGAUUGAGAUUCAUGGACUAUCUGCCAUGCCCCGAACACCAGGCAGAGUGCUAAGGGGACACGAAGAUGAAUAAGAUGUGACCGCUGCUCUCCAGGAUCCUGUCACAUAGAUGAAGAGAUAGAACAUAUCCAUAAGAAGAUAACUAAUGACCGACAUGGCCUGCUGCCGACACGUGUUAUGGUCCUGCGGGCUACAGAAAUUCAGAGGAGGAAGACAGAUGACUGCAGUGUGGCAGCUGCUCCUCGGGCACUUCCAGGAGCUUGUUAGGGUGAGGACAGAAGACUUCAUAACACAGAGGGAACCUGUGACACCGGCUUUAUAUCACACGAUAGAAAAUACCCAGAAGGAGUUCCAGAUGAAAUCUCUGAGGAUGUGACUCCACUUGGAUAACACCUCCCUGAGCUGCAAGGCAAGGAUUACUCUGUUUUAUAGAUCUGGUCACUGACAGCCAGAGACCAGAACUCUCCUGAGGUCACACAGCAUUGUCCGAGGUCUUAGGUCUUGUGAUGUCUGACCUGAUAUGCUCCUCCAUGAGAUCCUGCUGUCUCCAUGAGCAAGCUUGGCAGGAUGGCCAGCCAAGCCCUACUCACAGGCACCUGCAAGCCAGUAAGGAGGGUUGCCAGGAGAAUAGGGCAUCCUGGUGAGGUACCGGGAGUGCCUCUAAGACAGAGACAAGUCCAUUGGGGCAAAUGAGCUUCUCCGUCUCCAAGGUGAUGUGCCAAGUAACUCAUGGUUUCUCUCAUCUCCUUGAUGCUGAUCUAAAGGCGUUAGUUGACCAGCAGAAAUGAUUAGGUUGUCUAGAUCAUUCAUAUAGAUAAUUGACAUCAACACACCAGAAAACAGUUACCUAUCACUUACUUGCCACCAAGUCCUGCCAAAUGCAAGCUCAUCUCUUUGAUUCCAAUGUUUUCCCCAUUUCUGAGAAAACCACACUCCUCCAGUUUUUCUUUUCCCACUGACCUAUCAGUUAAAUCAGCAAAUACUUACUGUGUGCCUACUCCCACGCAAAACAUUGGACUAGUUGAUUGGGAACACAGAAGGAAUCAUUCAAUAUUUGUGAAUUCAAUAGUGGUUCAUUGAGCCAGGCACAACAUGCCAGACACUUUUCAGGGGCUGGCGAACACAACUAUGAGGAAAACAGCAGAAUCUAUUGUCCUCGUGGUGUCCACAGUCUGGUGGAGGGAUAAGAUGUAGCAGAGGAUUGUAAUUGCUUUUUGGCCACCCAGUUUCCCUUAAUAAAAGCUCCUGAUGUCUUUUGGAGAAUGACCUCUCAUCUUGGCCUUUUUGGACGGACUGCAGUUUCAGGGGCCUUGUGUAUUCCUAAUCAAUACUAACAUCAAGAUUAGUAGAACACUUGCCCUCUAUAGUCAGUAUCACAGGUUUGCUCAUUGAGUGCUCACCAAUACCUAUGGGUAGGUAUCCUCAUGUUCAGAGAGGGAAACUGGGGCAUACUGAGAAUGACUUGGUCACGUGGCUGGUAAAUGGCAGAGCCAGGAUUCAAACCCAGCCUGGCUAGUUCCAGAUACUGCUCUUAACCACCAAUCUACAAUGCUUUGUGAUGUCAGGGAGCUUGUGUUGCCUGAGUGUGGGGACGAUCCAACUGGAUCAUUUGGUCCAAUUGUACUUUUUCUCCCGGAAAUAAGGACCAUGAAAAUAGUGAUGCAAAAAUGGACAGCAUUGUUGCAGUAGCUGUCUUCCGUUGCUAAUGUUCUGAUGUGAUUGUCGUAUACCUCCCACUUGCCUGUAAUCCUGGAGCUUCCCUGGUUGUUUCCCCUUGCAAUCUGAUUCUUGAGUGUUCAUUAUAUUCUGCAGGCCACCGCACAUGCUUCCAAUAAACUCCCUUUGGACUUAAAUUGGAGUCAGUUUCAGUGGCAUGCCACCAGGAGUGCUAACAGAUACAGAAAUUAACACAAUUACCUCCUACACAUGGCAUGGAUGAAAGCACUUGGGGCUUCAUCACUGUGCUAAUGUUUGGGAAAGGCAAAGGAGGUUUGAGUUUGAGGGAACGUAUUUGUGCAAAGGGAGAGAGAGCUCCAGGGAUGUAGGGAGAUAGGAUGCAAGUCAGAUAUGUUGGCAGCCCUAGGGUGCAUAUUUUCAUCUCAAUCACUGGGGAAAGAAUUGGGUUGGGCUUCUCUCCAGCACUUUCUCCUCUUCCCUUGGAUGUGAAGAUUGAAUGCUUGCAGGGAGCAGACCGCCAGUGGUGUAUCGCACAGGGUUCAGACAGACAUCAAAGUUAAUCCGCUCUCUGAUCUAAGCAAAAUGAUGAUGAGGGUUUCCUGGGACAGCAGCUUUACUAAUUGUGGCACUGCAGCCUAGCGAAUGUAUUUUUAGAAUGUUGUGGAUUCCCAAGAAAUAAUGUUCCUGGCUGUAGAAAAACAGACUUGAAGCUUGGGGCUUGGAACAAAGUGGAAUCUCAUGCAGAACCUCUGGGCUGGUGUUGCUGAGAAUAAGAAAGUGGGGAAAAUGCUUCUCUGUUUUUAUGGGGUUCUGUGACUUGCUGAGUCUCUGCCCAUCUAUAUAAGUAUAUAUAGGUUUUUCUUCUUUGUUUGACUCUUUACAUGUAAGAGAUUUCCCCAAAUGUCCAUCUCAGCUAAUCUGUUGCUAUGCUCUGCACCCCAUAAUUUUAAAUCAUGCCUUUAUGACUUCCAGACUAUUUGCUCUGCUGAACUCCAGCAUCACUUGCCUGGUGGACAGCUUCAGGUUCAAGGCCCACUUGCUCCUACUCUUCCUCACUGUCAUGGACCUUGGCUUGACUUGAGUCCUCAUCAGCUCUCCCUUCCUAUGGCUUCCUAACUGGUCUUGUGUGUCCUCUUCCAUCAGUAAACUGUCUUAUUCACAGGGUGAUAUGGUUUGGCUGUGUCCCCACCCAAAUCUCAUCUUGAAUUGUA